rnacentral:lncRNA from 1 species
CCUUCCUAAAUCCUGUUAGGACUGAGUAGGGUGGAAAUUGUAUUCUCCAAGACCUGGCUCUGUCACUCCAAGCAUCUCCAUUGUAUCAAUUCUAAAAUCAAUCAUGACUCAAAGAACCUCCUGCUCCAUGCUUAAGCAUAGGUCAAAGCCCUUUCCAUUGUUCAGCAAAAGGUUUAUGUCCUAAAGUAAUCUCAGGUAGGGAGGAGAAGGACCCUCCCUACCUAAUGUUGGAAAUCAGGUAAAGCCCCUGAUGUUGUCCAGUCUACUUCCCUGCCUCCUGCAUCCCAGUGUAGACUACAUGACUCUGAGUUUGAACUCUAUCACAGAAACAAGGACUGUGUAAGGGAAAUCAUUGGGUGAAUUGAGUCACAAGUAUAGACUAACAGCAGGAAAAAUGUAGCAGUAGAGUCAAGAGGUCAAGAGACAGGGGGGAACAGGGUGGUCUUACCUGCAGUACCCACUGGACUGCCCUCCUGGGGGACACAGGCAAAAUAGGAAGCCAUAGUUGGCUCCCAAGACAUGACAUAUAAGUUAGUGGAUGGAGACAAGGUUUGAUAAACUGAAGCAAGAGUGAAUUUCUCUCUCUUUGCUUCUGGGUUUGGUGCUGACUGGACUUCCCGUGUAGUAGGGGGCCCUCAUAGUAUCCAUAAUAGUAGUAGUCUUUUGGUAACCGAGGAUGACGAUUGUCUUUGUGUGCUUUCAUCUGUGAUGUAGAUGAGUGUGCACAAAGACACUUGUGCAUGAAGGAGAUUUAAGUGGAAAAGUCGAUGCACAGAGACAAUCCCACUCUCGACGUUGGAAGCCUGGGUCCAGUGGCACGAAAAGUUGUUACACCUGGAGACUUCCUCAGCUGCAUUGGAUGGCCAUGUUGUCUUUUGUGCUCCAACACGCCCUAAGCACUCCACAGUGCUUUGCUGCAUUGCCCUCUCAGCCGUUGAACCUUCUUAUUGGUUUCUUCCAUCUGUUCCGCCGAAGCAGUCUUCACAUGCUAGAUUGUAUCCAGUUUGAGAUUGUUCUGAUCUGGGCCUCCUUUACUCUGCAUAGCCCUCUAGGAUACUGAAACAAAAUAAAACACUUUGAGAUCAUUCCA